rnacentral:lncRNA from 1 species
CACGAAUGGAAAGCAAGGCUCUUGACUCUCGAUACAUGGUUUCCACUGUGUGCGCAGCUACCACUGCUGGGACAGAAUGCCUUCACUUCCCUCCAAGUAGGGCUACUCUGUGCUGACUGGCCUCCUACUAGGACUUGUGGUGAGUCCCGACGUGCACCAACAGUGAAUACAUCCAAGUGGGAUGCAUUUGGAUCCUGGGGGGAUGGGGGAUGUUGGGAGUCAGAGGAUUUGGCGGGGAGGCCGGCAGAGUGGGGAAGACUGGAUGGCGGUUGUAGACAGUAUCAGACAGAGCCGGGGAGAUUUACCACAGAGAUCCAGGAAUGCAGGCUGAGGAGCUGGGACCAGACUGCCCAGGCAGGAUAGGGAGACAGAUUAGCAUAAGGCAGAGUCAAAUUAUCUGGGCUCCCAUCCUUGGUUUUAUGACCUUGUCUUCUCACCCAUGAAAUAGGUACGAUAACAGUAUUCUUCCAAAGGAGGAUCUAAUGAAAAACUAUAUGGUAUGGCAUGAUGCUUCGUACAUAGGAGACUCAAUAAACGUGUAUCCUGAUUAUUAUUACUAUAGAAUAUUAUAUGAAUAUUAUUAUAUUUAUGAGGAGUAGUGUCUCCCUGCACAGAGGAUAAGUGCAACAAAAUCAGUAUCAUCUCUUAGACAGAGACCUUUCAUGUGACGCUGCUCAAUGUUUCCUAAGAGAAAAGUUGGUAUAAUCCUUAGAAAGAAAUGGUGUAAAAUGCAAAGCUCCGAAGAUCCGAUAAGUGACCCGAAUGUGGACUAGCUUCCCCCUACGUGGAAGGACAGCUUAGGAAUGCUCGGUGAUGAGAAGGGACUGACCCACAGUAAGGAAGGUGGGACAAGGUGUCGGUGACCGAACGGAGCUUCCGCAGGUGGCUGUACAGAGCCAGCGUGGACGCCAUUGCACGGGGGUCUUGGAAGGGACACGUGUGCCAAGCAAGAAAGACACACAUUCACGAGGAUUUGGGGCAAAUAAUCAAGUAGAUUCGUGGAUUAGAAAAUGAAACAUAAAACGGUCUGCUAAGGAAAUAAAGUUCUGAAGUCAUUCUUGGGCUUAUUCACAAAACCGCCUGGUGGUCCUCACUCAUCUAGAGGUUUCUUGAAAUCAAACUACCUAUGGCCCUUAAUAAACAGAGUCUGGAUUCUGAUUCUGCAGGUCUGUGGUGAGGCCCAGGAGUUUGUGCUGUAACAAAUGCCCAGGUGGUUCCCAUGUAGGUGCUUGUUGGACCAAACCUAGAGAAAUAUUGACUUGUUCCGAGCCUUAGAACGUCUUCAUCUAUAAACACAGGUAAUACUAUGACAGCACUAUCCCUUUUGUGGGUUGAAUUGUAUCCCUCCAAAAGAUAUGAUCAAGAGGGGCGCCUGGGUGGCUCGGUCGGUUAAACGUCCGACUUCGGCUCAGGUCAUGAUCUCACAGUCUGUGAGUUCGAGCCCCACGUCGGGCUCUGUGCUAACUGCUCAGAGCCUGGAGCCUGUUUCAGAUUCUGUGUCUCCCUCUCUCUCUGCCCCUCCCCUGUUCACGCUCUGUCUCUCUCUGUCUCAAAAAUAAACGUUAAAAUUUAAAAAAAAAAAAAAAAAAAAAAAAGAUAUGAUCAAGUCCUAACUCCUGGUAUCAGUGAAUGUGACCUUGUUUGAAAACCGUCAUUGUAAGUGUAAUCAGGUUUAGGGAAGGUCACACCCAAUUAGGAUUGGCCCAAAUACAAUGGUUUGUGUCCUUAUAGAAGGUGUGAAACAACACGGAAGGUGGCCAUGUGAAGUUGGAAGCAGAGAUUGGAGUGACGUGCCUACAAGCCAAGGGGAGCCAAGAAUGGUUUGCAAGGGCCAGAUGCUAGGUGAGACAAGGAAGGAUCCUUUCUGGAAUCCUACAGAGGGAGCAUGGUCCUUCUGACACCUUGAUUUUAGGCUCUGUCUUCCACAGCUGUGAGAGAACACAUUUCUGUCGUUUUAAGCCACUCAGUGUGUCAUCUGUGUUAUGGCAGCCCUAAGCAAUGAACCAGGAACUCACGCAGUUGUCAAAAGAAUCAACUAUGCCAGGGCACCUGGGUGGCUCAGUCAGCUAAGCUUCUGACUUCAGCUCAGGUCAUGAUCUCACAGUUCAUGAGUUCAAGCCCUGCAUCUGACUGACUGCUGGGAGCCUGGAGCCUGCUUCAGAUUCUGCGUCUCCCUCUCUCUCUGCCCCUCCCCCACUUGCACUCUGUUUCCCUCUCAAAAAUAAAUAAACAUAAAAAAAAGAAUCAACUGUGUUGUUACAAUAGUAACUCAGAACAUUAUAGCAAAUAUUUUAGGGCAAGAUGGCAGAAAGCAUCUUUUUUUUUUUUUUAACAUUUAUUUAUUUUUGAGACAGAGAGAGAGAGCAUGAACAGGGGAGGGUCAGAGAAAGAGGGAGACACAGAAUCAGAAACAGGCUCCAGGCUCUGAGCUGUCAGCACAGAGCCCGACUCGGGGCUUGAACCCACAGACCGCGAGAUCAUGACCUGAGCCGAAGUCAGACACUUAACUGACUGAGCCACCCAGGCGCCCCAGAAAGCAUCUUUUUAAUUACUUGUCACAUCUUAGAGAAAACUUAGGAAUUUUGUAGUAUAUUAAAGGGAGGCUUGGGGAGAACGACAGCAGUUUUGGAAGAAUCUAGAAACAUAGGCACAUCUCAGUUCUGGUCUGCGGCCCUCCAUUCACUGGCUAUUUACAGCGGCCACGUCGGGCAGGCUUACACCUCUCAGUUUACCUGUGGGGAGGAAGAAAUGCCCCCCUUCCAGGGCUGUUGGAGAAACAAAUGCUUUAAAGAAUAUACAGGGGCGCCUGGGUGGCGCAGUUGGUUGAGCGUCCGACUUCAGCCAGGUCACGAUCUCGAGGUCCGUGAGUUCGAGCCCCGCGUCGGGCUCUGGGCUGAUGGCUCAGAGCCUGGAGCCUGUUUCCGAUUCUGUGUCUCCCUCUCUCUCUGCCCCUCCCCCGUUCAUGCUCUGUCUCUCUCUGUCCCAAAAAUAAAUAAAUGUUGAAAAAAAAUUAAAAAAAAUAAAGAAUAUACAAAGGCUUUUUAUAAACUUGAAGAUGCCAUGUAAAUGAAAGAGGUCAUUGAAUUAUAAUUAUUUUUAGUUUUCAAUGGGAUUAUAUUUGGAAGCUACCUGAAGGAGUCACGCUUGAAAUACUACUGAUCUGGACCUUGCAGAUCAUGUCUCCUUCAGGUGAGAAGACAUUUCAAGGCCAGAUUACAGAACCACAGGGGUUCUGUGGGUAACGGAAGAAGGGAGAAGAGAAGUGAUUUUUGGUGAAGGGGCCUUUGUGUCCUUGAGGGAAGGGGUUUUGGAGAUAGUAUGGUGUUCGUCUCCAGGGUCUGCCAUAGGAUCUUAGAGAGAGCACAGCCAGCGGCGUCUCCGUGAGAUGUUAGGGCUAGCAUGCCAGGGUGUGGCACCAAAGGGCAAGGAAUCUGCUCGCUCCAGCAGAGUGGCUUUGGCAUAGUGUUUUGGGCACAGCACAAUUUGGGGGGUGACUCACAGGGAGCAGCACCAGGGACAAUGGGAAUGUGCCCACGUGCCAGACCAUCAUGUGCCCAACCCAAAGGGUGCUGGAUCAGAACAGGAGACAAAGUGCAUGGCCAACCCUACACCAUGACUGAAAGGUUAGUCUAGGGACAGUGGUGAUCCUGAGACAUCUUUCUGGAAAAGACUGAGAUUUGGCGCAAAGUAUAAAGUAGGGGUGAGUGAGAGUGAGCUGGGUAGAAUCAUGGCUAGCUGAACAACCCUGUCUCUGCCGGCUUGUUACACCUGAACUGUACCUCCAAAAUCUACAUGUGGAAGCCCUGGCCCCCAUACCUCAGAAGAUGACUGCAUUUGGAUAUUGGGCCUUUAAAGAGGUAAAGGUAAAAUGAAGUCAUUAACCUGGGGUCCUAACCCUACCUGACCGGCAUUCUUACAAGUUUGGACACAUACAGAGACACCCGGGAUGUGCAUGCAGAGGAGAGAGACCGUGUGGGGACACAGCGAGAAGGCGGCCGUCUGCAAGCCAAGGACAGAAGCCUCAGAGAACAGCAAACUUGCUGACACCUCGAUGUCAGAUCUCCAGCCUCCAGAACCGUGAGGAAAUGUGUGUUGUUGAAGCCCGCCCCUGGUCCGUGGUAUUCUGUUAUGGAAGCCACAGCAAACCAAUACACCGCUUCAUCCUUAUUCUCUGUUAGGGCCUACAGGAGAUUUUCUUCUGAGAAAAAAACAAAAAAUGAUUCCAAACACCCUCCCUUUCCUUCCAUACCAUCUCGGAGACGCCGAGUGGAGCUGUUGGUGUCUUUGCUGCCUGGGACAGUCCACGGCAUGAACCUGGCGCUCCAGGCGACUGCAUAAAUGAGCCGGGCCCCAGCGACAGGUGCGGCCUGUGGUGAGCAGAGACAAGCAUUUCUGAUGUGGGAAUGCGUCGCCUGGUUCUACAGUUAACAGGAGCAGGAAGGAAUUUCAUGAACACUUUCGAAUACUUUUAGAAAGGCGUAUCUCUUAUCCCGUGGGGCACAUGCUGGAAGUGUCGUCUCCUAAUCUGCUGCUGGCAAGACGGAUUGCUCGUUGUCCACUCCCAGAACUAGCUCUGUUGGGGAGGGGGCUUUCUUGUCUGACUUCAAGGAAUUCGGAAGUCCCUUUUCCAGUCUGGUCACCAAUUGCUUUUCUUCUUAGAAUGUCAGAAAGGAAGACAGCUUUGAGACUGGAGACUGGAAAGACAACCCCAGAAAGCAGAAGUGAGGGAGUGGAGAAGACAGAUGGGCAAGUGAGGAAAGCCAGCGGAGGGUGCCUCCAUGGCUGCUUACUCCUGUGCACAACUGAGCCUCAAGCCCUCAGGGCCCCUCUGAAAACCCAUGUAAAAUCCAAGCAGAGGGCAGGUGAUUAGGCGUUUAUUCACCAAAUCCCUUUGGUUAGGGAUGCCACUGGCCACAUUAAUUUCCCUGUGGGACCAAGUUGCUCUGCACUUGGGCUCUUCGUGGUUUCAAAGAAAGUUCUGUGGUGAACAGGCAGGGGGUUAUGCACACUCAUGAUGUAGGUGCUGGUGACGUAUGUGGAACAGCCCAUCAGAGCUGUGAAGUCAGGUGGGCUGAGGACACGGAGCACAGUGCAGAAUAUUGCGGGCAGAGCAAACAGCCAGUGCAAAGGCCCUGGGGCAAGAGCAUCCCUGAGGCGUUCAAGGAACACAAGAAGGCCAGCGUGGCUGAGUGGAAUAAGCUAGGAAGAGAGUCAUAGGAGUUGCAGUCAGAGAGACAAUGGGGGCCAUUCUAUGGGAAGACUGCUUUUACCCUGAGAGACGCGGUAUAACAUAGUCUGAUUUGUGUUGUGCUGAUAAUGGACUUGGGUUGGGGGAAGUAGAGGCUGUUUCCAGAAUUCGGGUGAGAGAUGACAAUGGCUGCGUGUACCCGGGUGGAAGCAGGGGAGGCGGAGGGCAGAGAGGGGGGAAAUGGUAAACAUUCUCUGAUUCUCUCAACAACACAGCAAGGUGAUUUUAUUUUGAAUCUUCAGACUUUAAGGUUUUUUUGAGAGUUUGAAAUCCCCGCGAAUCCUAUAGGUUGAGGAGCUUGUACAAAUGUCCGCCCCCGAUAAGGGUGCACGACUGGGUCCUGAGCCUCCAUUCUUUCUGAGCCUUCCUGUGAUGAUCUCAGAAAAGCUGUUUACUCUGUGUCUCCUGCAAGAUCCGCCGCUGGCCUGGCUAUACUUCCUGACGAGGAAGGAUAGGGAGAGUAAAGAAAAGAACAAAAGGUCCAUAUGGUUUUUCUAACAGAGAGCCUCCUCUCCUCAUCACAUUCCAAGAUGCUGAACAAACUAGAUGCAAGACUGCAGAAACUAUAGAACAGCAAAUUAUUGGGUUGGGAAGCAAUAAUUAGAAAGGAAAUGAAGAAAAUGGACGUUGGGGGCCUUAAUGUGAAAUAUGACAUUGAUAAAUCAAAGGAAGCCUUGAAUUAGAGAUGUGGAUAUUUCAACUGAUUAUCCGAGAUAACUCAUAUCCUCCACUAACCUCGUCCAUCUUGUUUUGCCUUUGUGAGGACAAAGACAGUCUUUGCAAAUUGCCAGGCCACAGGAUUGUAUCUUCCAAAUGUUUAUUCAAAGAGGGUGGGGAGGAAGGGGAUGAAGCACUUGAAAAAUAAUUUGCUUGUUAAGCAGCCCAGAAGAAUGUUCUCCUUUCCACCGAGUCUGGUAUAUUUACGGGAAAGAUAAUAAGAGAAGCUUGGGAUGGCUUUGACAGUAAGGCAAAAGUAAACAAUCCGCCCAGGCCAGGAAAAGUUAGAUUCGCAUACCUUUGCUUUUGAUGCUCGUCCUAAUAGUUGAGGGUAAACAAAGUGCCACAUGACUGUGGAGAAGAGUAAGAAUUACUCAGCUGCCUUCUCUCUCCUGAUGAUUCCAAAGCAAAUGGUGUUUAUUUGAGGGACUUUAUUUUUAUGUCUUUUUUUUUUUUUUUCCUGAGAAAGAUCCCACUAGGGACAAAGGCAUCUUGGGACAUUAGCAUGACCACGUGUCUCCAGAUUGGUUUGAUUCAUGUGAUAGUGUGAUGAGAGUCUGAAGGAGACCACAGAAGUAGGGAUGGAAAAGACCCUAUUGGAUUAUUCCCUUUCGCCCGCUCCACCCUUCCUGGCAGGAGAGAGUCCCUCGAUAGAAGAAGACCCAGCCGGCCUUAGCCAAAUAUCCCAGUCUUCUGGAAACUCUGACAACAUGACAAGAAUUUGAACUGGAGCCACGAGACACCUCAAAAACCCCGUGGGCAGAGGAAGAGGGCGGGAUUCGUUUUGCAUGAGGGUGUUACUUGGGUGUUUGAUAAGUGUUUUUGGUGCUUGUUUUACGGCAGGUGACCUUGCGCUUGAUCCAGGAGAAUCCUUUCUGGCCUUUUUUGAGACCUGUAACUGCUCCCCUGUUGUACUAUAAGCUGUUGCUGUCACAAAUAGAGCUACCCAGGGGUGUCUGGGUGGCUCAGUCGGUUAAGCGUCCGACUUCAGCUCAGGUCACGAUUUCACAGUCCGUGAGUUCAAGCCCCGCGUCGGGCUCUGGGUUGAUGGCUCAGAGCCUGGAGCCUGCUUCCAAUUCUGUGUCUCCCUCUCUCUCUGCCCCUCCCCCGUUCAUGCUCUGUCUCUCUCUGUCUCAAAAAUAAAUAAACGUUAAAAAAAAACAAAAACAAAAACAAAUAGAGCUACCCAAUGCCAGCCCUUGAAGGAGCUCGUCUGGUUUUCCCUAUGAGGUGGCAACCAUUCAGGAGUCUUCGUUUUCUGCUGGGCUCUGGGAACCAGGGUCUGGUUUUGCCUAGCGCCCGAAUGCCUGAGGCUUCUAGAACUACCUGUAUUGUGCCACCAGGGCUACCUGGUGGGUGUUGAGACUCUUGCUCACUCCUCCGCAAAUAAGCUCUCACCUAGCCUCGGCCAGCCUCGCCACUCUUACCUGCACUUUCAUUCUUUAAAAAAAACUGUUCGCGUGGUACCACCCUCCUAAAUUGCCCCUCACUUUCUUCUUUGUUACCCCAAAUCCCAAAGAAACGGGUCUUUCUUGAGGAACCCUUUUACAAAUGUUUAAUAAACGUUGAAAAUUAUGUAGCCCAUCAUACUUCCCACCCUGACCUUCACUGCCUAAAAGUUCCGGGCUAGACUGAAUGCUUCUUCUUAAUUACCCCAGUAGGCUUGGGUCGAUAUGUUCGCUUCCUCUUUCUAUGUUUUCCCUUAUUUCCCAUUUUAAGAUUUAAAUAUGUACAUCAUUUAUGAUAAGCUUUCUUACGUUUUUUGGUCAGAAGCAGCAGAGACAUAAAGCAAAAACGAUCACGUGAUGUAAUUUACUUUCCUCCAGAUCACCUACGGGAACCAACUCCACCAGACCAGGAGCAGGGGUGAUGUCCUGCCCUGGGCAGCCUUGGCCAUCUGUCAGCACAAGUGUGUCCACAGCAGGAGGAACGGUACACCAAGAAGAUGCAUGGCUGCUGUCCAAGGACAACAGGCAUCUUCCAACCAGGCCACUUGGUCAAUCUGCUAAUCCCACAGUUCUCAGAGUUGGUCCCCCAAACAGGAACAUCAGCAUCAACCGAGUCCUUACUACAAAUGCAACUCCUCGGGUCCCCCCAAGUAUGUUCUGAGCCAAAAUGUCUGGGGAAGGGCUCAGCAAUCCGUGUUUUACCGAGUCCUCUAGUUGGUUCUGAGAACCCCCUGCCAACACCACACGCCAGUGGAGACCAUUUGAGACAAUUCCCUUUUGAUUCUUUCUGCUCAGCUUGCAUUUUGAUGUACAGGCCACAGGUUUUAUGUCUCCCCGCACUUCCUUGCUCGGUCUGGAGUCUCAUUUGCUCGUUUUCGUUCACGGAGGGGCCACUUCCCUGCAUCCCUUCUGCUUGGCCCAUGUGAUUGGACACUGACCUUAAGUAUCUUCUUGGAUCCAGAAACUCGCCUUUGUCCUUCAGCUGACACAUUAGUAGGAUGUCAAGUGAAUUCUUCAUUUCUGUGCACACACUUGUCAUUAGUUCAUUUGCUGGUGGCCCUGCUGAUUCACACUAUUAUUACUCACUGCUCCUGUCAUUUUGAACUUUAACAGAGAGGUACAAACAAGCAGGGAACUUCCACAUAAGUGUCUAUGAAACAAUGAACAGAAAAAUUC